rnacentral:rRNA from 1 species
GCAUAUCAAUAAGCGGAGGAAAAGAAAAUAACAAUGAUUCCCUUAGUAACGGCGAGCGAAGGGGGAAUAGCUCAAAUUUUAAAUCUGUUAGGUUUUAUCUAACCGAGUUGUAAUUUGAAGAAGCGUUUUCCGCGUUUUCGAUUAGCCCAAAUCCUUUGGGAUGAGGUAUCAUGGAGGGUGAGAAUCCCGUCCGGUUAAAUCGAGAUGCUUUUACGAUACGCUUUCUAAGAGUCGAGUUGUUUGGGAUUGCAGCUCAAAAUGGGAGGUAAAUUUCUCCUAAGGCUAAAUAUAGGCGAGAGACCGAUAGCGAACAAGUACCGUGAGGGAAAGAUGAAAAGAACUUUGAAAAGAGAGUUAAACAGUAUGUGAAAUUGUUGAAAGGGAAACGAUUAAAGUCAGUCGUACUGACGAGGAAUCAACCAUUUAAAUGUGAUUCUUAUGGGAUUCAAAGUGUCUUUGAUCUUGUAAAUUUCGUGUUCUUUUGGUGCAAUUUCUCGUAUUUGUAGGUCAACAUCGGUUUUGAUCGUUAUAAAAUGAUCGAAGGAAUGUGGCUUCUUUUGAAGUGUUAUAGACUUUGGUAAAUGUAACGAUUAAUACCGAGGAUGGCAACGGAUACCCCUUAAAGGGCUAUUCGUCUGGCCUCUGAUAUGUUACUUUGGUAUCGAAAGCUUGCUUACGUUAUUAAGGUGGACGAUCAAAAGGUUAGAACGAAUUAAAUUCGUUAAGGAUGUUGACGUA